UACGAAGGGGGCUAGCGUUGUUCGGAAUUACUGGGCGUAAAGCGCGCGCAGGCGGUUCGAUAAGUUGGGGGUGAAAUCCCUGGGCUCAACCCAGGAAUCGGCCUUCAAGACUGUCGAUCUAGAGGACGAGAGAGGUGAGUGGAACUGCGAGUGUAGAGGUGAAAUUCGUAGAUAUUCGCAAGAACACCAGUGGCGAAGGCGGCUCACUGGCCCGGUACUGACGCUGAGAUGCGAAAGCGUGGGGAGCA
rnacentral:rRNA from 1 species